rnacentral:tRNA from 1 species
GGAGGGGUGCCGGAGCGGUUGAUCGGAGCGGUCUUGAAAACCGUCGUGCCCUGUUGGGGCACCGUGGGUUCGAAUCCCACCCCCUCCG